GCUGACUCACUGGCAAAUCUUCCUCACUUCACGACACUGCGCCACGAGUGGCUUGACUGCAAGGCUGCAGCCACAGAGUCAAAAAAUGACACCCAUAAAUACCGAUUUGGGAGUGUGUGAGGAGCACUGCCCUUUGUCACAGCAGUUUUAGUUUUACACUUUAGGAAGCGUAGUGCUGUAUUUAAGGCCCUCCCCUUGGAGCUGCCCCUCAGAAGUGGCUUAUCGCAUCCUGGGAUCACGUCACUGUCCGGAAGAGCUGGAGAUCAUCCCGUGAAGCCUGACAAAGACAUACGCCUGCUAGGGGAUUAACUGCUUGCGGUUAGUCAGUCUACUGCGGGCAUGCUGGAUGUAAAUUUCUGCCAUACUUUACUGAGAGAGCCAAAAUGGUGAUAUCACAGUCUAGUCGCCUCCAUACCUGUGGAUAAAGCCCCGAGUAAGCUUGCGGCCCUCAUUGCUCACCCUGCUUUGAGCAGCAGUUGGAUCUGGGGACCUCCCAAGCUGUCUUCCACCCCGAGUCUUCUUUCUGACCCCAUUCAGGAAGAAAAAACACUGUGUGCAUUAGAUGUUUUAACUAUGGGUGGCUUGGUUUGUUCGAAAUAUCUGAAGUAAACUACUGCUAAGGAACCAAAUGAGGAGAAAAGAAGAAUCUCCCUGAACUGCUGUUAGUGGUCAGAAAAAUCACAGGCUCAAUCUUUAGCCUGAAGGCAUGGCCAGGAGGCCUUAGAAAGCUGCCCAGUAUAGUAUACAUUUCAGACGUAUUACAGCAAUUUCCAAGCGUUCCCAUUGCUGCAUUAAGAUUUGGAAAGAUGUAGCUCUCGGGUCCACACCCUCGUCAUUUAAAUAAACAUGCCUGCCACUUUGGGUGGUUGGCAAUCGAACAAACAGUUGCUUUUUGAACAGCGUGAAUGGAUUUCCUAUGGUGGCAUUUCUGCAGGGCUAAGUUUAUUUAGUUGUUGGCUUAUUUGGUGACCUGAAACAUGAAACCUUUGCUUAAAUCCUUAAUCACCCAGAUUGGACUCCCGGCCCUCCCUCCUUUCCUGGAGGCAGUAUGUGGUGAGUUAGUCCUCAGGGAGAGGCAACCGGUAUUUACCUUUGUCUAAACUAAACAACUUUUAUGCAAGUUUUAUAAACGGUUUGAGUGUAGUUUUUGAAAAAUCAUUUUUUAAUCACUUCUGUCUAUAGGAACCGUUUUAGCCACUACAGAAACUGGUUCUAUAAGAGACAACUUGUGUAACGUGAGGUUAUGGGACUAUCAAAUGGAUGCCAUCUAAAACAGACUGCCCUUCUAAGAGGUUUUACCUACACACUUAUUGUCUACCCACCUCUACUCCAAAUAACUAUUGCUUCUUGAUGCCAUGGUGGAGUUGGUUAGAAAGUGAGGGCUAUUUUUUUUCUCCUCAAAAAGAAGUUGCCAUUUGAUUAAAAGAAAAAAAAAGACAAACUUAAACACAGUCAUAGUUUUAGCUUUUGACCAAUUUCCAGUGAGAAAGUUUGUUUUUCAUUUUUAGACAAAAAAAAAAGCGGUGUGCAAGAGAUCACGUGAUCAUGUCCUAGAAAACUUUUCAUUUUAACAACUAUUUCUAAUUCUGUCCUCUUUUUUUUUUUUUUUUUUUUCCUUUUUUUCUGCUGUUGACCUUUUCUGGAAAUGCUGAGAUGGAGGAAACCAGGACUGAAAUAGUAUAGUCUCCACCAGCGUUAGGUGCUUUUCUUUCCCUCUUGUCAAUUCUAUUUAACUUCUUUAGGAGCAGACCUCAGCUCUAUCCUUUCUGGGAUAUGUUCAUGUUUUCUGUGUAUAGUUUUGGCCUCUUGGCUUAAGAGAAACCUUGUGGAUUUUUGUUAUACCUCUUGGAGAUCACGUAGCCCAAUCUGUGUAUGGUGGAAUACAGAAUUUCAAUGAGUUACACCUCUGCUCAGCCUAAUUACUUGGUUUAAACUUUCAGAAAGGCGUUCAGGUUUGAUGGGAAGAUAUAAAAAGAAGCAACAGCCACCACUUCCUUGGUGGUGUGCUGAGGGAGCAAAUCCACCUCUGUUGAUAGCACGAGCCUCAUUUCUAACUCACAUUUGAUUGACUUUAACUUCUGAACAGUACUUCUUUUUACACUUUUCUCCCAUAGAUUAGUACCUGAUAUAUUUUAUUCCCAUUAAAGUGUCAUGAAGGCCCCUCUCAGUCUUCUUUCUGAUGAGUUAAAAUAUGCAUCUCUUUAGUCGGGUGGUUUAGGGCAUUGCCUCCACACCUUGAAUUACUUUUGUGUUAAAUGUGGGGAAUGAGGUUUGUCUACACUAUGAGUUGCUUUGAGGUCAGUCUGCUUUUAAAGAGAAGCUGCCUCCGCCUACAAGAAUAUGCAGUGGUCUAUAAAACAAGCUGCUCUACUAUCAUCCCUUCUUUUUUCUGGGUGCAUGAAUAUAAUAAAUAGCUAAUACAGAAAGACACGUUCAUUAAAAAUGUCAGUUUUUCUGUACUUAAUUAAAAGUCACGUUAUAAUGUAUGAAUCGAUGUAUUCCUGAAAGCAGUGAUAUACUACUCUGUGACAUUGUGGAAACACUGGUUUUAGAAAUUCCUUUUUUAAGAGCUCUAAUUUAAAUUUACAGUUUAAUUGUAGGCUAUAGUUUAGGAUAAUUGAAUCCUCAGGGAGUUAUUUCCUUCUUUAAAGUGAAUCAGUGUUAAUGUACACUAAAUUGCUUAAUAAAAAAAUGAAUUUUUCUUGGCCAUUUCAGCAGUAUUUACCACAAAGAGAGUGGGGGUGACACAGGCCUUUUAAAAACACUCAAAAAGCAGGGGUGGCUAAACACUCAAAAGGGGUGGCUAAGACAAAAUGAUUAAUGCAGCUUGGUAAAUGUGAUUUCAUUGCAUACAGUUGUAAAAAAUACUGCCCUAGGAAAACAGAGUUUUGUGGACAACCUGGCAUCAUUUGUAGAAGUUUGUAAUUUCUUUCACUUUCAUUGAAACAGCAUGUUUGUGCAGGUUUUUGCGUGUCCCUACUGUAGGGUUGAACAGACAUAGAAAAAUGAAGGUGUAACUACUACCUUGCAAUAAAAAGGCGUUGUGUGAACCUG